GCCAUGGUGACAGGUGUCGGACAUUUUGACCAGGAGCUGAAUCUUCAGACAACGUUAAUGCAGAAGUCAUAUUUCUGUCACAAACAUCCAGAGAGGCACCGCCUGCAGCCAUGAGUCCGUCGGGCGUGUCGUCACCUGCGGCCAAUCGUUUUCCCAGCAGCCUCGGCUUCCUCAUUAACCCCGUAAGUCCGGCCCACAUCGUCCCGUCUGCUCAUUAAAGACCGGCUGCUGGUGGUUCUGUCCCCUCACAGUAACAACACGACUCUGUCUGAGUUUACUUCUAACCAACACCGACAAGUUCUGGAUCUUUUCUGGAAUCUGAAAAUACUGUUGUUGAGAAAAGUCACCACUGGCAGCGCAGCACGACGUCGGCCUCAUCUUCUGCUCCGACGGAGACGGCGGGAGGCUUCCUGACGAGUCUUAAAGUCACCCAACAGAUCAUCAUCAUCAUCAUCACAUGCAGCACAAACAAACAUGACAACAGAAAGUCACACGUUGCUUCGUGUCAAACACAGUCAGUCUGAUCAGUGACAGAUCUGUCACCCACUCUGUCUGCCAGACAGUGAUUCAGUAUGUGACAUACUAUGUGAACCAGCAGCUGUUCUGACCCAUAAUCCUCUGCUCUGUGUCACACACGUCACGUAUGUGCUAAGGCUGCGACAGAUACAGGAGGAAGAGGGUGAAGGUGUCAUGAUGAAGUAGUAUGUUCCACUUGUUGACAUACUGCAGUACGAACUGAGAGUACAACAGGUGAGAGUCAAACUGUGACGGAGGAGUGAAACAUCUGCAGUCUCACCUGAGUGAUGCAGGUCACAUGAUCAUCAGCUGCUCUGACUGUCAGUCCUCCUCUAACUUCACAGCUGAUCAGUCUCACACUGUCAGAUCUCCUUCACGCUCCUCUUCCUGCUGCUCCUUCUACAUCUGAUCAACCAGGAAGUGAGCUCAGGUGUGCAGCUGGAGGCGGAGCUUCAACACUUCGUACACCUGAUGUAACGAUCUGUCACAGUCUGUGUUUCCUCCCUGAUGCUCCGUCAUCACAUCUCAGUGAGGAAGCAGCCAUGUUGUUUUAUUAAAGGACAGAAUAGCUGAUUCAGAAACAGUUUAAGCUCCAAAUUAUAAUUUCAGGACUUCAUAUUCUCUCUUUUUAACAAUUAUGAUGAAUAUUGUCACAUAUCAUCACUCUGCUGGGGUGUGGUCGUCUCACGCUCACAGUCUGACCUGCUGACCUUUAGCUUGUUCGCUGUGAGGGCAUAUCAGGUCACUGCCUGUGUGUGUGUGUGUUGUGGAAAGCCGAUGCUCGGUGUUGGCGGCUGGCUGAAUUAUUCACGCUCCUCUGCGGUCGUCUCCCUGCCAGAAACCUGAGAGGAGAGGGUGAGGCGGCUUCCACCCUCCACCUCAACCUCCACCUCCACC